UACAGAGGGCUCGAGCGUUAAUCGGAAUCACUGGGCUUAAAGGGUCCGCAGGCGGACAAGCAAGUAUCUUGUGAAAUACCAUGGCUCAACCAUGGAACGGCUCGGUAAACUGCUUGUCUUGAACACGGUAGGGGCCAUCGGAACUCUAGGUGGAGGGGUGAAAUGCGUAGAUAUCUAGAGGAACGCCAAAGGCGAAGGCAGAUGGCUGGGCCGUUGUUGACGCUCAGGGACGAAAGCGUGGGGAGCAAACGGG
rnacentral:rRNA from 1 species